rnacentral:lncRNA from 1 species
CCAUUGUCUAAUAAAAUCGAUAACUUUUCAAUCAAGUCUCUCCCAUUCACUAUCUUCCAUGUCCUUAGGUUUGAUAUUUUUUUCAAGCAAUAGCGCAUCAAGAUCUUGGCACGCCAAUAAAUCUUCCAUUUGUGUUGUUCAGAUUGUUCAGUUGUUCCCAUUCAAGCUGAUCAUCCGAGUAGCCUUUGCCUCCAUCUGGAAUCUCACUCCGAUAUCACUUGUUAGGAGG